AACGAACGCUGGCGGCGCGCUUAACACAUGCAAGUCGAACGAGAAGGCGUAGCAAUACGCUUGUACAGUGGCGAACGGGUGAGUAAUACGUGGGCGACCUACCCUCGAGUGGGGAAUAACCCGCCGAAAGGCGGGCUAAUGCCGCGUACGCUUCCAUCUUUAUGGAGGUGGAAGGAAAGCCGUGCCGUGGGCACGGCGCUCAAGGAUGGGCUCACGUCCUAUCAGCUUGUUGGAGGGUAACGGCCUACCAAGGCUCCGACGGGUAGCUGGUCUGAGAGGACGAUCAGCCACACUGGCACUGCGACACGGGCCAGACUCCUACGGGAGGCAGCAGUGAGGAAUAUUGCGCAAUGGGCGAAAGCCUGACGCAGCGACGCCGCGUGGGGGAUGAAGGUCUUCGGAUUGUAAACCCCUUUCGGGAGGGAAGA
rnacentral:rRNA from 1 species